UGGGAUAGCUCAGUUGGUGGAGUACAAGAUGUCUAAUCUCAAGGUCGUGGGUUCAAGCCCCACACUGGGCAAAA